AAUGCAAGGACCUUUUGUUUUCUGAAUGAACUCAUGAAUGACUGCGAGUUUGGAACAUCAGGACGUGGCUUGUGUUGCCUUCUUUGAUUAUAUAUUUUUAUCCUUUGAGAUGCUUGCUUUUUCAGGCCUUGUUAUUCAGGUCAUUGACAGUAUGAAAGAUGUGAAGCUCCAUUGAAGAUUAGCUAUGAUGGACGUUUGUGUCAAA